GACGUAGGGCGCGAGCGUUGUCCGGAUUUAUUGGGCGUAAAGAGCUCGUAGGCGGCUUGUCGCGUCGACUGUGAAAUCCCGCGGCUCAACCGCGGGUCUGCAGUCGAUACGGGCAGGCUAGAGUUCGGUAGGGGGAGACUGGAAUUCCUGGUGUAGCGGUGAAAUGCGCAGAUAUCAGGAGGAACACCGAUGGCGAAGGCAGGUCUCUGGGCCGAUACUGACGCUGAGGAGCGAAAGCGUGGGGAGCGAACAGG
rnacentral:rRNA from 1 species